rnacentral:rRNA from 1 species
UGAGGAAUAUUGGGCAAUGCCCGCAAGGGUGACCCAGCAACGCCGCGUGGAGGAUGAAUGUCGUAAGAUUUUAAACUCCUGUUAGAGGGGAAGAAUAGUACCGGUUGGACCGGUAUAUGACUGUACCCUCAGAGAAAGCCCCGGCUAACUACGUGCCAGCAGCCGCGGUAAUACGUAGGGGGCAAGCGUUGUCCGGAUUUACUGGGUGUAAAGGGCGCGCAGGCGGGAUAAAAAGUCAGUGGUGAAAUCCUACAGCUUAACUGUAGAACUGCCUUUGAUACUUUUAUUCUUGAGUUCGGGAGAGAGAGACGGAAUUCCAGGUGUAGUGGUGAAAUACGUAGAUAUCUGGAAGAACACCAGUUGCGAAGGCGGUCUCUUGGUCCGACACUGACGCUGAGGCGCGAAAGCGUGGGGAGCAAACA